rnacentral:rRNA from 1 species
UGAGUAACCUGCCCUUAACUCUGGGAUAAGCCUGGGAAACUGGGUCUAAUACCGGAUAUGACUCCUCAUCGCAUGGUGGGGGGUGGAAAGCUUUAUUGUGGUUUUGGAUGGACUCGCGGCCUAUCAGCUUGUUGGUGAGGUAAUGGCUCACCAAGGCGACGACGGGUAGCCGGCCUGAGAGGGUGACCGGCCACACUGGGACUGAGACACGGCCCAGACUCCUGCGGGAGCAG